rnacentral:rRNA from 1 species
AGUCAAGCAACUAAGCGCAUACGGUGGAUGCCUUGGCAGUCAGAGGCGAUGAAAGACGUGGAAGCCUGCGAUAAGGCUCGGGGAGCUGGCAAACAAGCUAUGAUCCGGGCAUUUCUGAAUGGGGAAACCCACCGGUCUUCGGACCGGUAUCAUGCACUGAAUACAUAGGUGUAUGAGGCGAACCGGG